GAUGAACGCUGGCGGCGUGCCUAAUACAUGCAAGUCGAGCGAACAGACGAGGAGCUUGCUCCUCUGACGUUAGCGGCGGACGGGUGAGUAACACGUGGAUAACCUACCUAUAAGACUGGGAUAACUUCGGGAAACCGGAGCUAAUACCGGAUAAUAUAUUGAACCGCAUGGUUCAAUAGUGAAAGACGGUUUUGCUGUCACUUAUAGAUGGAUCCGCGCCGCAUUAGCUAGUUGGUAAGGUAACGGCUUACCAAGGCAACGAUGCGUAGCCGACCUGAGAGGGUGAUCGGCCACACGGGAACUGAGACACGGUCCAGACUCCGACGGGAGGCAGCAGUAGGGAAUCUUCCGCAAUGGGCGAAAGCCUGACGGAGCAACGCCGCGUGAGUGAUGAAGGUCUUCGGAUCGUAAAACUCUGUUAUUAGGGAAGAACAAAUGUGUAAGUAACGAUGCACGUCUUGACGGUACCUAAGCAGAAAGCCACGGCUAACUACGU
rnacentral:rRNA from 1 species